GGGCGGGCUGUGGAUAAACAGCUUCCGGUUCCGGUGGACUCAACCCUCUCCUACGCUACGUGUCUCUUCUCUCUCAAGCUGCCAUCCCACAAACAGUCAUGGAUCAGGUAAUGCAAUUUGUUGAGCCAAGUCGACAGUUUGUAAAGGACUCAAUUCGGCUGGUUAAAAGAUGCACCAAACCCGAUAGAAAAGAAUUCCAGAAGAUUGCCAUGGCCACAGCAAUAGGAUUUGCUAUCAUGGGAUUCAUUGGCUUCUUUGUGAAACUGAUCCACAUCCCCAUCAAUAACAUUAUUGUGGGUGGCUGAGUCUCAUCGUGGGAACUAGUGAACAAAUGAGGGUGUGACAAGCUCAUGAAGUAAAGAGUUGCCUGCAUA